UGUGUCGGUGUGUCUGCUGGUGUCACACAUGUAUAAACACAACGCGUUUCUCUGAAACUGUCAUGAAGGACAAAAGCUGUACUGUGUAUCCAAGGGUGUGCUACAGGCUACAGCUUUUCUCACGAGCCAUGUCCAGAUGAGACGUUGAGGUCCCUUUUUGGUCACAAGUAUUGCAGAAGAAAAGAAGGACGCACCUUAAGGGAAGUGUGACACUGUGGGGAAUAGGUUGGAGGGCUGCAGUUGGUUCAGACACAGCAGACUACGAUGUUUUCCAACCAGCAAGACUGAAGCCUGGUGCAUGCUUGUAUGGCAGCAGAGGAGACAGAAAGCUGAGCAAUUACUGCCUCAGGGUUCAGAUGAACAACCACAGUGACUAUUUGCAAUUUUCUGCUUUCAUGUUCGCAGGCGACAUGUCACGUUGUUCAUCAAAAAAAAAGAAAAAAAAAUCA